rnacentral:tRNA from 1 species
AAAAAGAUAAGCUAAAUUUAAGCUAACAGGUUCAUACCCUGUUUAUGAAAGUCGGGCCUUUCUCUUUUUA